rnacentral:rRNA from 1 species
CCUACGGGAGGCAGCAGUAGGGAAUAUUGCUCAAUGGGGGAAACCCUGAAGCAGCAACGCCGCGUGGAGGAUGAAGGUUUUCGGAUUGUAAACUCCUUUUGUUAGAGAAGAUAAUGACGGUAUCUAACGAAUAAGCACCGGCUAACUCCGUGCCAGCAGCCGCGGUCAUACGGAGGGUGCAAGCGUUACUUGGAAUCACUGGGCGUAAAGAGCGCGUAGGCGGGAUAGCAAGUCAGAUGUGAAAUCCUAUGGCUUAACCAUAGAACUGCAUUUGAAACUGUUAUUCUAGAGUAUGGGAGAGGUAGGUGGAAUUCUUGGUGUAGGGGUAAAAUCCGUAGAGAUCAAGAGGAACACUCAUUGCGAAGGCGACCUGCUAGAACAUAACUGACGCUGAUGCGCGAAAGCGUGGGGAGCAAACAGGAUUAGAUACCCCAGUAGUC